rnacentral:tRNA from 1 species
CGAGUUCGUGGUCUAUCCCCGGGAGGGGCACUCGUUUCGGGAACGGGAGCAUCAGGUGGAUCUACACCACCGGGUUCGG